ensembl:snoRNA SNORD116 Small nucleolar RNA SNORD116
GCAUCAAUGACUUCCAUAUAUCCGUUCCUUGGAAAGCUGAACAACAUGAGUGAAAACUCUAUUAAAAAAAAAAAACAAAGAAAAAGC